UCGGUGAUAACUGAUUGGCCCGUGAAGCAGCGGAAUUUUUGUUUCGUGUGAAAAAGGCAGUCGGUGAUAAUCGAUUGUCCCGGAAGACUACGGAUUUGGUCCGUGUGAAAAGACAGUCGGUGAUAAUCGAUUUGUCCAGAAAAUACAGAAUUGUCCGUGUGAACACGUCGGGUCGAUCCGAGGAGCCGGACAUUUUGGUGUUUUCUGGCCGGGGCGGUGUGUUCUGCCUUUUGUGACGUGUCGGGAAUCAUCAACGAGGCGGUGGAUUGUCCUUCCGGUGAUUUCGGAACAGAACCAAGUGAAUUCGACGUUGUCGGAAGCUGAUAGGUGACCGGCUGGUGAUUUCUGUCGCUACGGGUGAGCGGGGAACGAGCCACGUGUUGCGGUGCCUGGAAGCGCUGAUUUUUUGAGGUUAAGUUGCCGCUGUGUGGAUCUAGCGAAACCUGGAACCAGUUCAGAGAAGCAGCUCACGGACAUGAUGGGUCGAUUGACAACAGCUGGCGACAUGGCUGGAAGUGACAGCGAUGAUCAGGGUUGCCA